rnacentral:lncRNA from 1 species
UCCCAUUUUGAGUUCACUAAAGUUAGGGCAUUCUCAAUCAUUCACUCUUAGUAACUAUUGAUAGUGUUUUACAUUUACUUGAUUUUUUUAUCUGCAGAGUAACUGAGAUGUGUGUAUAAGGCUGUGUCAAAGAGAAAAAGAGUGACUUUUUAAAUGAGAUAACAGAAAUAAAACCAGAAGGAAAUGACUAUGGUAAUGAACUUGAAU